CCCUUAGAGUUUGAUCCUGGCUCAGGAUGAACGCUAGCUACAGGCUUAACACAUGCAAGUCGAGGGGAAACGAUAGAGAAAGCUUGCUUUUUCUAGGCGUCGACCGGCGCACGGGUGAGUAACGCGUAUCCAACCUGCCCACCACUUGGGGAUAACCUUGCGAAAGUAAGACUAAUACCCAAUGAUAUCUCAAGAAGACAUCUGAAUGAGAUUAAAGAUUUAUCGGUGAUGGAUGGGGAUGCGUCUGAUUAGCUUGUUGGCGGGGUAACGGCCCACCAAGGCGACGAUCAGUAGGGGUUCUGAGAGGAAGGUCCCCCACAUUGGAACUGAGACACGGUCCAAACUCCUACGGGAGGCAGCAGUGAGGAAUAUUGGUCAAUGGGCGAGAGCCUGAACCAGCCAAGUAGCGUGCAGGAUGACGGCCCUAUGGGUUGUAAACUGCUUUUAUAAGGGAAUAAAGUGAGCCUCGUGAGGCUUUUUGCAUGUACCUUAUGAAUAAGGACCGGCUAAUUCCGUGCCAGCAGCCGCGGUAAUACGGAAGGUCCGGGCGUUAUCCGGAUUUAUUGGGUUUAAAGGGAGCGUAGGCCGGAGAUUAAGCGUGUUGUGAAAUGUAGACGCUCAACGUCUGCACUGCAGCGCGAACUGGUUUCCUUGAGUACGCACAAAGUGGGCGGAAUUCGUGGUGUAGCGGUGAAAUGCUUAGAUAUCACGAAGAACUCCGAUUGCGAAGGCAGCUCACUGGAGCGCAACUGACGCUGAAGCUCGAAAGUGCGGGUAUCGAACAGGAUUAGAUACCCUGGUAGUCCGCACGGUAAACGAUGGAUGCCCGCUGUUGGUCUGAAUAGGUCAGCGGCCAAGCGAAAGCAUUAAGCAUCCCACCUGGGGAGUACGCCGGCAACGGUGAAACUCA
rnacentral:rRNA from 1 species